rnacentral:tRNA from 1 species
GGGCUCGUAACUCAGUUUGGCUAGAGUGGCCGGCUUUUAACCGGCAAGUCGUGGGUCCAAAUCCCACCGAGCCCG